UUUCUAGCGGCGGACGGGUGAGUAACGCGUGAGCAACCUGCCUUUAUCAGGGGGAUAACGCAUCGAAAGAUGUGCUAAUACCGCGUAAGACCACAGCUUCACAUGGAGCAGGGGUCAAAGGAGCAAUCCGGAUAAAGAUGGGCUCGCGUCCGAUUAGCUAGUUGGUGAGAUAACAGCCCACCAAGGCGACGAUCGGUAGCCGACCUGAGAGGGUGAUCGGCCACAUUGGAACUGAGAAACGGUCCAGACUCCUACGGGAGGCAGCAGUGGGGAAUAUUGGGCAAUGGGCGAAAGCCUGACCCAGCAACGCCGCGUGAGGGAAGAAGGGUUUCGGCUCGUAAACCUCUGUCCUAUGGGACGAAGGAAGUGACGGUACCAUAGGAGGAAGCCCCGGCUAACUACGUGCCAGCAGCCGCGGUAAUACGUAGGGGGCGAGCGUUGUCCGGAAUGAUUGGGCGUAAAGGGCGCGUAGGCGGCCUGCUAAGUCUGGAGUGAAAGUCCUGCUUUCAAGGUGGGAAUUGCUUUGGAUACUGGUGGGCUGGAGUGCAGGAGAGGAAAGCGGAAUUACCGGUGUAGCGGUGAAAUGCGUAGAGAUCGGUAGGAACACCAGUGGCGAAGGCGGCUUUCUGGACUGAAACUGACGCUGAGGCGCGAAAGCGUGGGGAGCAAACAGGAUUAGAUACCCUGGUAGUCCACGCGGUAAACGAUGAAUGCUAGGUGUAGGAGGUAUCGACCCCUUCUGUGCCGCAGUAAACACAAUAAGCAUUCCGCCUGGGGAGUACGGCCGCAAGGUUGAAACUCAAAGGAAUUGACGGGGGCCCGCACAAGCAGCGGAGCAUGUGGUUUAAUUCGAAGCAACGCGAAGAACCUUACCAGGUCUUGACAUCCGUGUAAAGCCGCAGAGAUGCGGUGUGAGCUUGCUCAAUACGAGACAGGUGGUGCAUGGUUGUCGUCAGCUCGUGUCGUGAGAUGUUGGGUUAAGUCCCGCAACGAGCGCAACCCUUAUCGUCCGUUACUAACAGGUAAAGCUGAGGACUCAGACGAGACCGCCGGGGACAAC
rnacentral:rRNA from 1 species